UGGAGCCAGAGACAGGAGUCGAACCCGCGACAUCCUCAUUACAAGUGAGGCGCUCUACCAACUGAGCUACUCUGGC
rnacentral:tRNA from 1 species